AUUGAACGUUGGCGGCAGGCCUAAUACAUGCAAGUCGAACGGCAGCACAGAGAGCUUGCUCUUGGGUGGCGAGUGGCGGACGGGUGAGUAACGCGUAGGAAUCUACCCAGUAGCGGGGGAUAGCCCGGGGAAACGUCGGAUUAAUACCGCAUACGCCCCACCGGGGAAAGGGCCGGGAUCUUCGGACCGGUCACUAUUGGAGGAGCCUGCGUUGGAUUAGCUUGUUGGUGGGGUAAAGGGACCUACCAAGGCUACGAUCCAUAGCUGGUCUGAGAGGACGAUCAGCCACACUGGAACUGAGACACGGUCCAGACUCCUACGGGAGGCAGCAGUAGGGAAUAUUGUGCAAUGGGCGAAAGCCUGACACAGCCAUGCCGCGUGUGUGAAGAAAGGCCCUAGGGUUGUAAAGCACUUUCAGUAGGGAGGAAUUAGUA
rnacentral:rRNA from 1 species